rnacentral:lncRNA from 1 species
AGAGUCAAGACAUCAACACAUGAAUCAGACAGGAUGAGAGGAGGAUAAGGCUAAAGACAGAGGCUCCAGCUACCUUGGUGACAAGGAAUGGAGGAGAAAAGGAACAGGAAAUUUUAAUAAGAUUAGGAGGGCUUGCUUUUCUGCCAAGUGAGCCGCUUUCACAGGAGCGAUAAAUUGGAAAUGUUAUCUGGCUUGAUAUGCCAGUUUUUCUGAGAAAAUCACUCUGCCAGUGGUGACAGAAUGGAAGAGCUGAAAACAUCUUCUUUUUUCAAAGUCAUAUGUCACGAACCAAGGAGACUCCAAAAAAUAAAUUAUGGAAGAUUAUGACCACUGCUGCCAAGGAUACAGUGAAAUAGGUACAUCUUGUAUGCCCAGUAAUGUUGAAAAUUAAUAUAACCUUAUUUAAAAAGCAAUUUGGAGAUGUUGAAAGAAAGCCUGAAGAUUACCACCAUGCUUCAUGAUUCUAUCCAGGUGUCCCACAUAUGAGAGCCAAUUCC